UCGGGAAUUUUGGGCAAUGGGCGAAAGCCUGACCCAGCAACGCCGCGUGAAGGAUGAAGUAUUUCGGUAUGUAAACUUCGUAAGAAUAGGAAGAAUAAAUGACGGUACUAUUUGUAAGGUCCGGCUAACUACGUGCCAGCAGCCGCGGUAAUACGUAGGGACCAAGCGUUGUUCGGAUUUACUGGGCGUAAAGGGCGCGUAGGCGGCGUGGUAAGUCAUCUGUGAAAUCUCCGAGCUUAACUCGGAACGGUCAGAUGAUACUGCUGUGCUAGAGUACAGAAAGGGCAAUCGGAAUUCUUGGUGUAGCGGUGAAAUGCGUAGAUAUCGUGAGGAAGACCGGUGGCGAAAGCGAGUCUCUGGGCAGUUCCUGACGCUGAGGCACGAAGGCUAGGGGAGCAAACGGGAUUAGAUACCCACGUAGUCCCUGAGCGGGCUGGCAAGGCGCAU
rnacentral:rRNA from 1 species